rnacentral:rRNA from 1 species
CCUGGCUCAGAUUGAACGCUGGCGGCAUGCCUUACACAUGCAAGUCGAACGGCAGCACGGGGCAACCUGGUGGCGAGUGGCGAACGGGUGAGUAAUGCAUCGGAACGUACCCUAGAGUGGGGGAUAACUAUCCGAAAGGAUAGCUAAUACCGCAUAUUCUAUGAGUAGGAAAGCGGGGGAUCUUCGGACCUCGCGCUCUAGGAGCGGCCGAUGUCAGAUUAGCUAGUUGGUGGGGUAAAGGCCUACCAAGGCGACGAUCUGUAGCGGGUCUGAGAGGAUGAUCCGCCACACUGGGACUGAGACACGGCCCAGACUCCUACGGGAGGCAGCAGUGGGGAAUUUUGGACAAUGGGGGCAACCCUGAUCCAGCCAUGCCGCGUGAGUGAUGAAGGCCUUAGGGUUGUAAAGCUCUUUUACCCGGGAUGAUAAUGACAGUACCGGGAGAAUAAGCUCCGGCUAACUUCGUGCCAGCAGCCGCGGUAAUACGAGGGGAGCUAGCGUUGUUCGGAAUUACUGGGCGUAAAGCGCGCGUAGGCGGUUUUUUAAGUCAGAGGUGAAAGCCCGGGGCUCAACCCCGGAAUUGCCUUUGAAACUGGAAAACUUGAAUCUUGGAGAGGUCAGUGGAAUUCCGAGUGUAGAGGUGAAAUUCGUAGAUAUUCGGAAGAACACCAGUGGCGAAGGCGACUGACUGACCAAGUAUGACGCUAGUCAAAGCGACC